UACGUAGGGUGCGAGCGUUAUUCGGAAUUACUGGGCGUAAAGCGUGCGCAGGCGGUUUUGUAAGUCAGAUGUGAAAUCCCCGGGCUCAACCUGGGAAUGGCAUUUGGGACUGCAAGGCUGGAGUUUGGCAGAGGAGACUGGAAUUCCUGGUGUAGCAGUGAAAUGCGUAGAUAUCAGGAGGAAUACCGAUGGCGAGGGCGCCUACCUGGCCUGUUUCUUGACGCUGAGGCGCGAAAGCUAGGGGAGCAAACGGG
rnacentral:rRNA from 1 species